CAAGGCUGAAACUCAAAGGAAUUGACGGGGGCUCACACAAGCGGUGGAGCAUGUGGCUUAAUUCGAGGUACGCGAAGAACUUAUCCUGGGCUUGACAUGUGCGAAAGCGCCCGGAAGUAGGGGCCGGAAACGGUUCCCCAACGGUAUCCAGUCCGGAACCGGGUACAGGUGCUGCAUGGCUGUCGUCAGCUCGUGUCGUGAGAUGUCGGGUUAAGUCCCAUAACGAGCGAAACCCUUGUCCGCAGUUGCCAGCAGUUCGGCUGGGGACUCUGCGGAGACUGCCGGCGUCAAGCCGGAGGAAGGUGGGGAUGACGUCAAGUCCUCAUGGCCUUUAUGCCCAGGGCUGCACACGUGCUACAAUGGCGUGAACAAAGGGAUGCCAACGCGCGAGCGGGAGCCA
rnacentral:rRNA from 1 species